rnacentral:rRNA from 1 species
GGGUUUCCGUAGGUGACCUGCGGAAGGAUCAUUA